rnacentral:rRNA from 1 species
UUCCUACGGGGCGCAGCAGUAGGGAAUCUUCCACAAUGGACGAAAGUCUGAUGGAGCAACGCCGCGUGAGUGAAGAAGGGUUUCGGCUCGUAAAACCCUGUUGGUAGUGAAGAAAGAUAGAGGUAGUAACUGGCCUUUAUUUGACGGUAAUUACUUAGAAAGUCACGGCUAACUACGUGCCCGCAGCCGCGGAAAUACGUAGGUGGCAAGCGUUGCGCGGAUUUAUUGGGCGUAAAGCGCGUGGAGGCG